GACGAACGCUGGCGGCGUGCUUAACACAUGCAAGUCGAACGGAAAGGCCCUGCUUUUGUGGGGUGCUCGAGUGGCGAACGGGUGAGUAACACGUGAGUAACCUGCCCUUGACUUUGGGAUAACUUCAGGAAACUGGGGCUAAUACCGGAUAGGAGCUCCUGCUGCAUGGUGGGGGUUGGAAAGUUUCGGCGGUUGGGGAUGGACUCGCGGCUUAUCAGCUUGUUGGUGGGGUAGCGGCUUACCAAGGCUUUGACGGGUAGCCGGCCUGAGAGGGUGACCGGCCACAUUGGGACUGAGAUACGGCCCAGACUCCUACGGGGGGCAGCAGUGGGGAAUGUUGCACAAUGGGCGGAAGCCUGAUGCAGCAACGCCGCGUGCGGGAUGACGGCCUUCGGGUUGUAAACCGCUUUCGCCUGUGACGAAGCGUGAGUGACGGUAAUGGGUAAAGAAGCACCGGCUAACUACGUG
rnacentral:rRNA from 1 species